GAGCAGCCUGUUCUUGUUAUCAACACUGUUUGACUAUCUCCCCUGUAGGUGAGAGAACAGAACUGGAAACUACGCAAAUGUGUUCAGACUAGAACAAGGAAAAACAACAGCCUCCAACAGAGCAGAAAGACUAAAGUGUUGUCUUGAGUGAACAGAAAAAGAAACAAGUGAACAGUCGUUUGAUGAACCAAACAUGUACGCUGGCCAACAUGAACCUGCUGAACAAGUAACCUGUCAGAACAAAUACAUAUGGAAAUGGAACUUGCAGACGAUUCAAUCGGUGACAUUGUAACUACUUCUCGAGAAGAUGAUUGUAAACCUUAAUACCACGGGCUUAAACGGUACAAUUGCUAUCAAUUCUGUGAUAAAUAAGACGACCUCGGAAUAUCAGAGUAGGCCAAAUUGCCCCUUAAGCAUAUUCUGCCAUUCAAAGAAAAUUCUGGCUAAUCUGUGACCCAACCCUACCUGUCCCCAAAGAUUUUCAGAUACAGAAUCUCCAAUUUCAAAUAGCAUUGAUUGUCAAUUGCAGAAGAAUUUUCCAAACUUUGAUCAUACUCAAUUUUCAUCCUGAAAAGUCUGACUAUUUUUUAGACUAGGCUUGCAGCCAAAGUCUCCCCAAACAAUGAAGAUAGCUUCUCUCUAUCUACUCUGCUUGCUCCCUUAUUAUGUUGACACUGGAUGCCAAGACAGAGAUUAAUGCUGGUGUGAGGGUGUCACUGUAUGUGAAUCACAGGGUUGAUGGUUCGGCACCAAGUGCUAGGAAGUAUCUCUGAGUGAUGCCCCGCAAACCCCUCCCAGCCACCAAUGUCAGGUGCCUUGAUUACUGUCUUUGAACAUAAGACUUUCCCAGAAAUGUCAAAAGAAUACCAAAAAGGCCUGUUUGUUGUGCUCCCUCCCCACUAUUGAGUUAAAACCUGCAGUGGGAUAAGGUCUUCACAGGGACAUUAGUCGCCAGUAGAACAGGAGAAUUGUCCAUGAGUCUUCCUGUCACAGACAUAAAUGAGAUGAAGGAGGAGGUUCCUCACCCACCACCCACGCUCCUGAUUAAAGGCCCCUGCCACAAAGCCCCAGCACAGGGGAGGGAACAAAAAUUCAUCCUCCCUGUACUCCCCUUUACUUUAGUGCUGUUUUAAAGGCUCGCCUUCUAUUAGCCUCCUGCUAUUUUAUGUACCUGUUCCGAACAUUGUCAUGGCCUGCACUAUGAGCUAGUUCUGCGGAAGGGUCACCAGACCCGAAACAUUAACUCUGCUUCUUCCCUCACAGAUGCUGCCAGACCUGCUGAGCUUUUCCAGCAACUUUGUUUUUGUUCCCGAUCUACAGCAUCCGCAGUUCUUUCGGUUUUUAUUGUAAUGACCUUUCUACAUAGCCCCCACUGUUUCUAGUUUUUCAACGUGAAAAAUUUACUCUGCUGUAUUAUUUUUAGGUCCAAACUGGAUGGCCUCAUAUCUAACUUCAGUCAAAUCAAUUUUCCAGUUUUACAUUCACUUAAAAUUGUUAAUAUACCUUUGCAACUUUAUUCUUUCA